rnacentral:rRNA from 1 species
AAUAGAACCCCGGUAGUCCACGCCGUAAACGUUGGGCGCUAGAUGUGGGGACCUUUCCACGGUUUCCGUGUCGUAGCUAACGCAUUAAGCGCCCCGCCUGGGGAGUACGGCCGCAAGGCUAAAACUCAAAGGAAUUGACGGGGGGCCCGCACAAGCGGCGGAGCAUGCGGAUUAAUUCGAUGCAACGCGAAGAACCUUACCAAGGCUUGACAUACACAAGAACGGGCCAGAAAUGGUCAACUCUUUGGACACUCGUGAACAGGUGGUGCAUGGUUGUCGUCAGCUCGUGUCGUGAGAUGUUGGGUUAAGUCCCGCAACGAGCGCAACCCUCGUCGCAUGUUGCCAGCACGUUAUGGUGGGGACUCAUGCGAGACUGCCGGGGUCAACUCGGAGGAAGGUGGGGAUGACGUCAAAUCAUCAUGCCCCUUAUGUCUUGGGCUUCACGCAUGCUACAAUGGCCGGUACAAAGGGCUGCGAUGUCGUAAGGCGGAGCGAAUCCCAAAAAGCCGGUCUCAGUUCGGAUUGAGGUCUGCAACUCG